CCGGCGCCAGCGAGAAGAGCGAGCCGGAAGUGCAGUGGACCGCGUCCACCUCCGUGGAGCAAGUGAGAGAAAGGAGCUACCAGAGAGCUUUGCUGCUCAGCGAUCACAGGAAAGACAAGGACAGCGGGGGAGAAUCACCAUGUGUCUCAUGUUCCCCGAGCCAUGUUCAGUCCUCACCUUCAUCUCAUUCAAAUCACAUUCCCCAGUUGCAAGCUAAGGGCCUAGGCCCUCUCAGUGAACUCGUGGAAGACCCCGAUCCUGAAAAUCCAGAACCCACAACGACAAAUGAGUGUCCAUCCCCAGAUAUUUCUCAAAACACCUGUAAAAGCCCUUCAAAGACGAACAAGGUAAUGAUACGGACUUGACUGUGGCCACUGAACCCUGAUGGUAACGCGCAGAGGGGUGUUCUGCUGAUGAAGGGGCGCUCUGGGAUUUCUGGACACUUUCUGCCAAAUGUACUACUCGGUUGUGCUAUCUUACUGGUUCUCCCGCAUUAGACCGUGAGACAAUACAAGGAUUCCAGUUCUCCACGCACACGGCAGUAGCGCAUGCUUUAUCCGAAAGGUCCACCCUGUUCUAACGGUGCCCAGGAAACCCACAACUUUUCACGAGUUACUUAGCCAGCCCGUGCUUUAUAAACCAAAGGUGAAGAGACAUCCAUUUAGAGAGGGUCACUGGCCCUCCUGGCUCAAGGCCCUGUGAUAUUUGAGGGUGGCUUUUCGUUUAACAACGAGAUCACACACGUUUCAGUCCUAUGUGAGUAGUUGACAAGAAAAGCUUGAGGGGCAAAAGUUUAUUUACCCAAACCAAUUUACUCUUAAGCUGGAUAGAGAAAUUUCACUUGCGGAAUGGAAACCUGGUAACUGUUUCGCGGUUAAUACAGUUCCUUCAGUGGGUAAGGCUCAGAAAUGUCCCUGACCAUGAUGUCCUCCAUCUGUCGAGCUACCACAGCUCGGCUACCCUACCCAGAAAGCCUCCGGCCUCCGCGGCCGCCCGGUACGUGAGCGCGACUCCCGGCCAUCUGGCCGUCGGCGCGCAGUCACCGCUUUCUCUCUCUUGCAG
rnacentral:lncRNA from 1 species